rnacentral:rRNA from 1 species
ACCCACGCACGUUGAAAAGUGCGGGGAUGAGGUGUGGGUAGCGGAGAAAUUCCAAUCGAACUUGGAGAUAGCUGGUUCUCUCCGAAAUAGCUUUAGGGCUAGCCUCGAGGUAAAGAGUCAUGGAGGUAGAGCACUGUUUGGACUAGGGGCCCUUCUCGGGUUACCGAAUUCAGAUAAACUCCGAAUGCCAUGUACUUAUACUCGGGAGUCAGACUGCGAGUGAUAAGAUCCGUAGUCGAAAGGGAAACAGCCCAGACCACCAGUUAAGGUCCCCAAAUAUAUGUUAAGUGGAAAAGGAUGUGGGGUUGCUUAGACAACCAGGAUGUUGGCUUAGAAGCAGCCACCAUUGAAAGAGUGCGUAAUAGCUCACUGGUCGAGUGACCCCGCGCCGAAAAUGUACCGGGGCUAAACAUAUUACCGAAACUGUGGAUGAACCUCUUUAGAGGUUCGUGGUAGGAGAGCGUUCUAAGGGCGGUGAAGUCAGACCGGAAGGACUGGUGGAGCGCUUAGAAGUGAGAAUGCCGGUAUGAGUAGCGAAAGAAGGGUGAGAAUCCCUUCCACCGAAUAUCUAAGGUUUCCUGAGGAAGGCUCGUCCGCUCAGGGUUAGUCGGGACCUAAGCCGAGGCCGAUAGGCGUAGGCGAUGGACAACAGGUAGAGAUUCCUGUACCAGUGCUAAUUGUUUAACCGAUGGGGUGACACAGAAGGAUAGGGAAUCGCACGAAUGGAAAUGUGCGUCCAAGCAGUGAGUGUGAGAAGUAGGCAAAUCCGCUUCUCGCGAAGCAUGAGCUGUGAUGGGGAAGGAAAUUAAGUACGGAAGUUCCUGAUUUCACGCUGUCAAGAAAAGCCUCUAGGAAGAGUAGUACUGCCCGUACCGCAAACCGACACAGGUAGAUGAGGAGAGAAUCCUAAGGUGAGCGAGAGAACUCUCGUUAAGGAACUCGGCAAAAUGACCCCGUAACUUCGGGAGAAGGGGUGCUCUAUUAGGGUGCAAGCCCGAGAGAGCCGCAGUGAAUAGGCCCAGGCGACUGUUUAGCAAAAACACAGGUCUCUGCAAAACCGUAAGGUGACGUAUAGGGGCUGACGCCUGCCCGGUGCUGGAAGGUUAAGAGGAGUGCUUAGCUUCGGCGAAGGUACGAAUUGAAGCCCCAGUAAACGGCGGCCGUAACUAUAACGGUCCUAAGGUAGCGAAAUUCCUUGUCGGGUAAGUUCCGACCCGCACGAAAGGCGCAACGAUCUGGGCACUGUCUCAACGAGAGACUCGGUGAAAUUAUAGUACCUGUGAAGAUGCAGGUUACCCGCGACAGGACGGAAAGACCCCGUGGAGCUUUACUGCAACCUGAUAUGGAAUGUUUGUACCGCUUGUACAGGAUAGGUAGGAGCCGAAGAGACGUGUGCGCUAGCAUACGAGGAGGCAAUGGUGGGAUACUACCCUGGCUGUAUGACCAUUCUAACCCGCCACGCUUAGCGCGUGGGGAGACAGUGUCAGGUGGGCAGUUUGACUGGGGCGGUCGCCUCCUAAAGAGUAACGGAGGCGCCCAAAGGUUCCCUCAGAAUGGAUGGAAAUCAUUCGCAGAGUGUAAAGGCACAAGGGAGCUUGACUGCGAGACUGACAAGUCGAGCAGGGACGAAAGUCGGGCUUAGUGAUCCGGUGGUUCCGCAUGGAAGGGCCAUCGCUCAACGGAUAAAAGCUACCCCGGGGAUAACAGGCUUAUCUCCCCCAAGAGUCCACAUCGACGGGGAGGUUUGGCACCUCGAUGUCGGCUCGUCGCAUCCUGGGGCUGUAGUCGGUCCCAAGGGUUGGGCUGUUCGCCCAUUAAAGCGGCACGCGAGCUGGGUUCAGAACGUCGUGAGACAGUUCGGUCCCUAUCCGUCGCGGGCGCAGGAAAUUUGAGAGGAGCUGUCCUUAGUACGAGAGGACCGGGAUGGACACACCGCUGGUGUACCAGUUGUUCCGCCAGGAGCAUCGCUGGGUAGCUAUGUGUGGCAGGGAUAAACGCUGAAAGCAUCUAAGCGUGAAGCCCCCCUCAAGAUGAGAUUUCCCAUUUCUUCGGAAAGUAAGAUCCCUGAAAGAUGAUCAGGUAGAUAGGUUUGGAGUGGAAGUGUAGCGAUACAUGGAGCGGACAAAUACUAAUCGAUCGAGGACUUAACCAAAA